GAGGGUAGAGCUCAAAUGGCAGAGUACAUGCCUAACAUGCAGAAGGUCAUGGGUUCAAGCCCCAGUACCUCCU
rnacentral:tRNA from 1 species